AGCAGCAGCCGCGGGAAUACGAAGGGGGCUAGCGUUGUUCGGAUUUACUGGGCGUAAAGGGUGCGUAGGCGGACUGAUAAGUCAGGGGUGAAAUCCCAAGGCUCAACCUUGGAACUGCCUUUGAUACUGUUAGUCUUGAGUUCGAGAGAGGUGAGUGGAACUGCGAGUGUAGAGGUGAAAUUCGUAGAUAUUCGCAAGAACACCAGUGGCGAAGGCGGCUCACUGGCUCGAAACUGACGCUGAGGCACGAAAGCGUGGGGAGCAAACAGGAUUAGAUACCCCAGUAGUCCCUGUCUCUUAUAC
rnacentral:rRNA from 1 species